rnacentral:snRNA from 1 species
AGCUUUGCGCAGUGGCAGUAUCGUAGCCAAUGAGGUUUAUCCGAGGCGCGCUUAUUGCUAAUUGAAAAGAACAAAGACCAUUCAAUGGGAAAAAUGUAGUCUUUUCAACAAA